rnacentral:rRNA from 1 species
AUGGUUGUCGUCAGCUCGUGUCGUGAGAUGUGGUUAAGUCCGCAACGAGCGCAACCCUCGACCUUAGUUGCCAGCAUUCAGUUGGGCACUCUAAGGUGACUGCCGGCUAAAAGUCGGAGGAAGGUGGGGAUGACGUCAAAUCAUCAUGCCCCUUAUGACCUGGGCUACACACGUGCUACAAUGGGCGGUACAAAGGGUCGCGAACCCGCGAGGGGGAGCCAAUCCCAAAAAGCCGCUCUCAGUUCGGAUUGCAGGCUGCAACUCGCCUGCAUGAAGCCGGAAUCGCUAGUAAUCGCGGAUCAGCAUGCCCGCGGUCGAAUACGUUCCGGGCCUU